CGUGUAGGCGGCCAGGUAGGUCCGAUGUGAAAACUGGAGGCUCAACCUCCAGCUGUCAUUGGAAACCAUCUGGCUAGAGUCCGGAAGAGGAGAGUGGAAUUCCUGGUGUAGCGGUGAAAUGCGCAGAUAUCAGGAAGAACACCAAUGGCGAAGGCAGCUCUCUGGGACGGUACUGACGCUGAGACGCGAAAGCGUGGGGAGCGAACA
rnacentral:rRNA from 1 species